rnacentral:hammerhead_ribozyme from 1 species
AUGCAGCUGACGAGUCCCGAAUGGGACGAAACGCGUGUCCUGGAU